rnacentral:sRNA from 1 species
UGUCAUGCCAUCUCUUCCUUUGGCCAAUGCCAGGAGCUGGGCCCUCCUUGGGGAGAAACCUGGGUUUCCUGAGUCAAGGGACCAGAAGCAGGCCACGUUCCUGAGGCAGGAGUGGAAGGCAGAGGGCAGAGGAGGUUGAGGAGACAGAAGGACAGGCCUCUCAGGGCACUGCCCCUCCUUCCCUCCACACCUCACAUCGUCCUGCCUGGGUCCUCAGAGGAGCUCUGGGUAGUUUGAGACGGGUAACAUUCCUCGGUCAAGGCGUCAGCACAGAGGGGCACAGGAGUCAGGGACCAUCAGAAGAGAAUGCAGUGGUCGGGAGAGGGGGUCCCCAGACUCUGAACCCCAUGCUGAGCUGGGGCCUGACCCUUCACUUCUCCCGGGAGAAGGUCUCCUAUCCCUGUGGCUGCUCUGUUUCCCAUGCUCAGGUCAGACUGAGCUUACACAGGUGAGAAAGGCUCCAGCUGCAUUUAGUGGGUCCCAGCCCAACAGGUGCAUGUUUUCCUUUCCUGCCUCGGUCCCCAGGGCCAGCCGGGGCCAGUGAGGGAAAGGGCUGCAGCAGGGGAGCCCUUUUCUUCUCUCUUCCUCCCUGAACUCCACCACCACGGUAGAGCAUCUUUCCCUUCUCUUUGCUUUGCAUCCUGUUUCUCCAUUGUCUCUCCUCUCAUAUGUCUCGCCUGUCUCUCCCUCCCCUACCUUCACCCCGUUUCUGCCAUCAUUCCCCUGCCUUCCCCUUCUGCCUCCUGAGCCUGCAUCACUCGCCUCCCUGUCCCAGCAUCCUGGGCCAUCCCUAAGAACUGACCUGGUCUUGGCCAGGGCCAGGCCAGGCAGAUUGAUGGACAGCCAGUGAGGUAGCAGAGCCCUGCGCUCCCACCCCAUUUCCUACUCCCUGCAGUGCCUUCAGUGGGGACUUGGACAAAGGUGAGAGAGGGAUGGAGGGAGGGGAAGAAAGUCCUGAAGCCUGGGCUCCCAAUGCUGCCCGGGGCUGCAGAGGCAGGAACUUUGGAUUGUAGGUGGACACACUGCACUGUGUCUCUGACGUAGGUGUGAUUGCUCCCAUGAGGAGGACAGCUCCACAGUUUCAUUUACCGUUGUCCAUUUUGUUUUGAUUUUCGGCAGCUCCAUCCUGGAAUUGUUCCCCAAAUUAUUAUGCCUGGAUGGCCAGCAGUCACCCAGAGCAACUCUAUGUGGUACUGAAGCCCACAAGAGGUUACCAACCUGUAAGGUAAGAAGAGAGGAUCCAGCAGGGUGGUGCAUGAGAAAGGGGGGGUACCAUCUGUGGUCCUGGGGACUCUUUAUUCCAGGGAGGCUUCUUUGGAUCUGAGAUGUUGAAGAAUCUGGUCCUGCAAUUCCUGCAGCAGUAAGUAUCCCUGGGACUCUGAGGCAAGAGAGGGCUAGGUCAGAUGAAUUUACCCAAGUACAAGUCUGCCUACAGUGAGACUUUGAAGUCUCAUUUGGCACCCAUGCCACAGAGUUAGCCUGUCCUCACUGGUCUCCAACAGGUAUUACUUGAUCUAUGACUCUGGAGAUCGACAGGGUCUCCUUAGUGCUUACCACGAUGAGGCCUGCUUCUCCAUGAGCAUUCCCUUCAAUCCUGAGGACUCAGCCCCGAGCAGCUUGUGCAAGUACUUCAAGGAUAGCAGGAAUAUAAAAAUUACCAAGGACCCCUACCUGCGGGGGGAGCUGCUGAAGCACACAAAACGUGAUAUUGUGGACUCCCUCAGUGCGUUGCCUAAAACUCAGCAUGACCUCAGCUCCUUCCUGGUGGACAUGUGGUGCCAGACGGAAUGGAUGCUCUGCUUUUCUGUCAACGGGAUGUUCAAGGAAGUGGAAGGACAGUCUCAGGGUUCUGUUCUCGCCUUCACCCGGACCUUCAUUGCUACCCCUGGCAGCAGUUCCAGUCUGUGCAUCGUGAAUGACAAGCUCUUUGUGUGGGAUACCGGCCACCAAGGGACCCAGAGUGCCUUGUUCACCCCAGUGCCCACAGCCUUCUCCAGCUCCGUGCCUGCCUUCUCACAGGAGCAGCAGAAAACGCUGCCUUCAUAACAACCAGUGUGACUACGUCAGAGCUCCUCAUGUUCUUGCACGGCCCAAGAUGUAUUUCCCUGUGACUGAACCAGGAGAUCUGGCUGGAGCUAAGAAGCCGAAGCCCAACUCACAGGGCUGACUCUCAUCCUUCCAAAGGGGCCAGUUGUUCUGUGCACUUGUCCACCCCUGUUACCCCCAGGAUCUCUGUUCGUUUUCACAAUAAAGAAUGAUGUGUUGUUAUGUC